UCCUCCUCUGUCCAAAUCUCUUAUCUUUUUUUGUUUGAUUUUUUUAUAAUAUCUUAGGCCAUAAUAUUAUCAAACUUUGUUGCAUUUUAUCGAAUUAGAUUUGAUAUUAGUAUUUUACUUGUAGUUUUUAUAACUAUUUCACAUAUAACCUUGAUGACAGAACACUAGUACUAUUUAUAAUCAAAAUUAUCAGAGCUUUUCCAGCAUUUAUGACCUAGAUCUCGUAAUUUGCGUUGUCUUGGUUAGGACAUGAUUCAACGCCCAUCACAUGCCAAGGGGUCAAGAUCCAUUCAGAUGGAACUGUCUUCUUAUUUUUUAUGUAUUGGUUUAUUUAUUUUAUACUCCCUCCGCAGCACUAGAUCAUUUUACACGCUCAAACUUCAUUUUCUUCUUGCAUCAUUUCCCUAAUUUAAGGUUAGUCGUCUCAACUUGAAUGAAAUACACAUAACUUUGACAUAUGUAUUUUCAUAUACUGUAUAUAUAUAUAUAUAUAUUAAUAUGUUUUCGAAAAAUCCUAGUACAUAAAGUGUAUGUAGUGUGUGUCUUUUCGCGAAUAGUAUCUGGACUCGAAUUCAGUGGAAUGCAAGUGUGUAAAGAUAGAUCAUAACCUUUUUCUUAGUUUUCAUUUUCAUUUAGAUCUGUAUGAUAUUUUAUUUUUGUAAUUUUCUCAAUGUCUUAUACUCUUUAUACUAUUAUUGUUUAAAUUUUCUAACUGUUGCUCGGAAUAAGUUUUAAACUGCAACUGUUUUCAAUUAUACUUCAAGAGUUAUUUAACUUUUGACUGACAAGAUCUUUUGAAUUCUCAGGCCUUGAAAAGCAAUGCUAUUUUGUCUUUAGCAUAAAAGACGAAGUAAGAACAGUAUCUUGUCUCUAAUGUAUCAUUGACAUGUUAGUUUAGGUUCAUGUUGAUACAUUGUAAACACACAACUUAAGCAAAGAUGGUAGAUGAUGCAUCCAGUAGUAAAAAUCUAUUUGUUUGAUUUUUUUAUAAUAUCUUAGGCCAUAAUAUUAUCAAACUUUGUUGCAUUUUAUCGAAUUAGAUUUGAUAUUAGUAUUUUACUUGUAGUUUUUAUAACUAUUUCACAUAUAACCUUGAUGACAGAACACUAGUACUAUUUAUAAUCAAAAUUAUCAGAGCUUUUCCAGCAUUUAUGACCUAGAUCUCGUAAUUUGCGUUGUCUUGGUUAGGACAUGAUUCAACGCCCAUCACAUGCCAAGGGGUCAAGAUCCAUUCAGAUGGAACUGUCUUCUUAUUUUUUAUGUAUUGGUUUAUUUAUUUUAUACUCCCUCCGCAGCACUAGAUCAUUUUACACGCUCAAACUUCAUUUUCUUCUUGCAUCAUUUCCCUAAUUUAAGGUUAGUCGUCUCAACUUGAAUGAAAU
rnacentral:lncRNA from 1 species